ACCGGAGCUAAUACCGGAUAAUAUAUUGAACCGCAUGGUUCAAUAGUGAAAGACGGUUUUGCUGUCACUUUAUAGAUGGAUCCGCGCCGCAUUAGCUAGUUGGUAAGGUAACGGCUUACCGAAGGCAACGAUGCGUAGCCGACCUGAGAGGGUGAUCGGCCACACUGGAACUGAGACACGGUCCAG
rnacentral:rRNA from 1 species